UGAUGAGUUUAAGCAUACCUUUCUCGGCCUUUUGGCUAAGAUCAAGUGUAGUAUCUGUUCUUAUCAGUUUAAUAUCUGAUACGUGAGCCAUUGGCUCACAUGAUAUUAAAUUUAUUUUUCAAGGGGGGGAGUCCACCACAAUAGCUUGCUAUUGGGGCUCUCAAGCGUCGCCUGAGCGUUGCACUACAGCUUGGGCCUGGCGCGCCUCGCCAAAUCAAGUCUAAUUAUUUUCGGAUGUUCUGCAAGGAUGGUUGGAUCAAAGCUACCCAUUAAUCUUGAUGUAAUGCUAAGGCUUUUCGUCUGGAUAAGAAUGCGGUUACCUACCUUCAGUCACUAUUCUGAUGGAAAAACAAUUAUUGUUUUGCGUUACACUUUUUUCAGUCAGUAUUUUGGUGGAAAAACAAUUAAACCGUUGUUUCAACAAACUUGAAGUCUUGAAAUGGUAACUUGUUUCAUAUAAUGCUCGACAGAUUUUGUCUUUAUAGCAAGUUAGUUGUUGUUGAAGUGUGAUGUAGAGGUUCUAUAUGUACGUCUUCUAUUGUAUGGCCCUGUAUGCAGAUUUUAAGUUUGAUUAUGACUGCAGUUGUGAAAGUGUAAGUCUGUUUUUCAGCAACCAGGAUGCUAUGCAACAUUUAUGAUAAAGAGGUCUUUAAUUAA